rnacentral:rRNA from 1 species
GUUCAGAACUUAAAGAGAAAUCUUGAGUUUAUGGACUUCAGGGGGAGUAUGGUCACAAGGCUGAAACUUAAAGGAAUUGACGGAAGGGCACACCAGGAGUGGAGCCUGCGGCUUAAUUUGACUCAACACGGGAAAACUUACCAAGACCGAACAGUAGAAGGAAUGACAGAUUAAGAGUUCUUUCAUGAUUUAUUGGGUAGUGGUGCAUGGCCGUUCUUAGUUGGUGGAGUGAUUUGUCAGGUUAAUUCCGGUAACGAACGAGACUGAAACCUAUUAAUUAGUUUUCUGCCUAUAAGACAGAAAUGUUCGCAAGAACAGGUGCGUAAGUACCACUUCUUAAAGGGACACAUUUCAAUUGUCCUAUUUUAAUUGUAGUUAUCUAAUUUCGGUUAGACCUCUU